CCAGUGUAUUUCAAGAGAGCAGAAAGUAUUUGCUAAAAAUAUUUAUGCAGAAGUUAUUUAUGGCCUGGCCCACAUCAACCCCGUGGCAGCCGUUACACAACGCUCACAAAGGAGCCCUUAUCUGGAGGAGCACACAGCCAGUUUUGCAGUCCACAAGUCACCAAGACGCAAUUCUAGUGGCUUUUCAAUCAAAUCAGGAACUUGAGGCCUGGAUGUUCAAUUUAGAUGUCAAGUCUUGUCAAGCAGGCUCUGCCAAGCUGCUUUCUCAUGCUUCCCAGUUUGAAGGGGACUCUGGUAGAGGGGAUCAGAAAAUGCUGCACCAUUUCAAGGAAUGACAGCUUUUCCUCAAAAAGCUGGAGGUAGGCAAAGCAGAUCUCUUUCGAUGGAAUUUGGUUCAAGAUUAGAAUUAUUUUCUCUCUCUGCUUACUGUAGAAAACUUCUCAAUGGCCUAUAGAAGGGAAAGGAGACUUGCUGCUUGGCUGACACUGGGCACAUACCCACAAGGCUGGGCACAAGAUUUAAUUCACAAAUGCACUCUACUGCUACAGCAAGAAUUUAGUCAAGGUAGCUUUUGGUUAGAACCCUAAGAAAGGUAUGGUGAAUUUAUAAAACCCUUAAUUUUUUAAAAAAAUUACUCAAAAUUCAAUGUAAGUGAGAUCCAGCUUUUUGUCCUGGACUAUCUCCACCUUCAUAUAGUUUGUUGUUGUUUUUUGUUGGGUUUUUCUUUUUUUUUUAAACAGCUACAUUUAUGAUCUGCAAUGGCCUCAUGGGUGCUGAUCUUUAAAGGUCUGUACUAAAACUCCCAGCUUCAUCUGUUGUUAUGGGGACAUGAGACAUGAGCUUGUGCAGGUAAGAAAGCAGGAGAUGCUCUUGAUAUAAUGAAACUGGUGGGAUGCAAAUGUACCAGAGGAAUGACAGGAAUAUCAGCACUUCCCUGCGCAGCUGCUCAGUGCCAUGAGUUCAAAGUGACUACAGCCCAAUUCCUUAGUUAACUUAUGAGAGGAAAAAUAAUUGAAAGCCAGGAUCUCAAAUUAGGAUCACACACAUUGGUUCCCUCUUCUCCAUCAGGUCACGAACCUCAAGGAAUUCAGGUUGAUUUGACAUGCUUGUUUUCAUCAAACCCCUGGUGCCAGGUCCUUAUGGCUUCAUUAUCCACUGAGUACUAAUGAUGGGAUGCUCUGUAACCACUUUCAUGCCCUGGAUCUUGGAAAGGCUAAUCCCAGAGCCUCUCUUUGCCCUCUUCUUAAGAUAAGUAUUUUUCUUGUCCUUUUCCAUUCCUUUGAGACCUCUGAUGCUGUCUUUGCUUCCUCAAAUGCAAUCACUAAUUGUUCAGAGGUUUAAUUAAGCUAAUUCUUUCUACAAGCACUCCAGGGGGAAUUUCAGCAGAGGUUGCCAGUUUGAAUACAUGGAGUUUUUUAAAGUCUGGAUAUUUCUUGAAAUCAUUCUUUCACUAUGCUCCUUCACAGUAACCUAUUCCAUUACACAAUUUGCCCUGCUGGAAUUUACUUGUUUGUGAAAAAUAGAACAGGAUUAAUUUUGAGUCCUCCAGUUUUAACAUUUUUUUUUUCUCAGAUGUUUGCUCUUUUCCCCCAUAAAGCAGUAAGUCAGUAGCAUCUUUUGUCACAGCCUAUUCCUCUUUCCCUUGCACCUCCAGCUCCCUCCUAUUGGAUGACCAGGCCAAAGUUUUGCCUUCUCAGGACUCCCAAGAAAAAAAAAGAGGGACACAAAGAAAUCUUCAGAGUCAGAGAAUCAGGUGGGAUGUACAUGCUGAUAACACCUGUCUACUCUUGGAAAACCUUCAUGGGACUGCAAGACUUUUUCAGCAGAACUUGAGUACAGGUGGACAGCUCUGAAGAAGAUUUGUGCCCUCUUAUGCAUCUACUAAUUUAGUGUAGUCAGAUCUGCCUUGAGUAGAUUUCAGCAGUGUGACUAAAGUUGUCUCUGUGUGUUACCUGGGUUUUCCAGGCUGAGGGGAAUGGCAUCCUUGGAGCUCCCCAAGGAACCUCAGUGCUGCCUCAGCUGUGUCCAAGUCUACCCUGUGGUUCUGCAGAGCUGGAGCUGCCUGGCAAUAUCCAUGCUUUUCCCACAAAGGACACAUCUCUGCAUGAAAUGGGCAUGAAACUGGCUUACUCAGGCACUACUGGAAACCAAGCUGUGGAUGGCAAGAAUUAAAGAAGAGGAAGAAAACCAAACAACAAAGCCCCAAAAAAUAAAACCAUGAAAUGCAUUUACUUUGGAUGUCAAGUUCUCAGCAAAAAUUUUCCUGGUCUUUGGCUCUGCUCCUCUUAGUUCAUCCUGUUUGCUAAUGCAAAUGUAGUUACAGAUGAUCUUCAGUUAAUUUGAAGGCUUCAUGGCUAAGCACUUUCAGCAUAACCAUAAAGUAAAUGUACAAAAUUAAAUGAGUCCAGCUGUGUUGUGUGUUA